AUCAGUGGGGCCAGCUGCUGCAGGACUGGCAGGGCAUCGGUCAGUUGGUGGUUGAUCAUAAUUGCUGUGCCAACCAGUACCAGAGGAAGCUGGACUGGACAUCGUGGAUGGCUCUUUCAGUCACAGGCUCUGUCUACAAUGCCUUGGAAUGGGCCUGCGCAGAAGAAGCACUGGUGCUGUAGUGCUGAGCAGUGGGGCACUCAUGUUGCUCACAUUUCAAGGAAAUUUCAUUUUCCUCAGACUAGAUCCAGUUGGCCCCAAGGUUGAACAUCCAUCAGAGAUACUGGUGAAUUCAGAGGAAAUAUUUCCUGGUCCUGUGCCAUCCAGAAAGACUCCUUAGGACUGAACAUGUGCGCAGAAAUGCAAAGAACACUUUAAAACACCUACCUGGAAAGUCUUCUCUUAUUUUCUUGCUGGACGAAGACAUCAUAGU